GAUCCUGGCUCAGGACGAACGCUGGCGGCGUGCCUAAUACAUGCAAGUAGGACGCACAGUUUAUACCGUAGCUUGCUACACCAUAGACUGUGAGUUGCGAACGGGUGAGUAACGCGUAGGUAACCUGCCUAUUAGAGGGGGGAUAACUAUUGGAAACGAUAGCUAAUACCGCAUAACAGUAUGUAACACAUGUUAGAUGCUUGAAAGAUGCAAUUGCAUCG
rnacentral:rRNA from 1 species